AUGAGUACAAAAAGAAAGAUUGUGGUUUCUUCGGAUUCCGAUGAUGAUAUGCCAUUCACCCAGGAAAAGCAAAAGAAGGCAGCGACACCGGCGAAAAAAAGGACAAAGCCAGUAGUACUAACCGAUGACGACGAAGAAGAAGAAAAUGCACCUCAAAAAAAGACUGCACCAAAAAGAUCGAGAAAGCAAGAAAAAGAAGAGAGCGAUCUUUUAGAUAACCUCUGACGAAGACGAGCUCGUGCGCGGAACUGAUGAAAAAAAGAAAAGAAAGGGUGGAAAAAAGGAGUUACCAGUUGGUCAAAAAACGCUGGAUUAUAUGUUCAAACCUUCUUCGUCAUCUUCGAAACGUGAUGAUCCUAAGAAAAAAGUCGAAAAAACAUUAGUGAAUCCCGCAGACUUCUUCAAAAACUCACCAGCGCCAUCUGCAUCAAAACUUCCAAAAGUUGCUCCGAAAACUGUUGAAAAACCAAAAACGCCAGCUAAGAAGCCAGUGGAGAUCAGCCCGUCGACCAAAGAAAACACUAAAACAAAGAAAGUGUCGGACGAUGAGUUCGUAGAUUCUGAUGAUAGUUUUGACACGUUCACUCCUAUUACUGUGAAAAAGAAGACACCUGAAAAGAGAAAGGAGACCCCGAAAAAGAAAGAGCUUCCUUCUGUCAAAAAAGAAUUCCCAAAGAAGCAAUCAAUUCCUGUCAAAAAAGAAAAAGAAACUCCACAGAAAAAGGCGUUAUCAGUGAAAAAAGAUCCACCGAAAGUAACCUCCGAGUCAUCUUCGUCGAGUCAAGUUUCCACGUCAUCAGUCGUUUUUCAACCGAAACCAAGUGGGCCACCCCCAGCACUUUCAUGGGUUGAUAAGUAUAAGCCGAAAAGGAUGGGAGAACUUGUUGGCCAGAAUGGAGACAAAAGCCCAAUUAAUAAGCUUUUGGAAUGGAUUAAAGACUGGGCAAAACACAAUCUUGGCGAAGGGGCAAAAAUUAAGAAGCCAAAACCAGCUCCAUGGAUGUCAUCUCAAGAUGGUACAUCAUUCAAAGCAGCUCUUUUAUCGGGUUCUCCUGGAGUUGGAAAGACUACAUGCGCCUAUAUGGCUUGUCAACAACUGGGCCUUCAACUUGUCGAAAUGAAUGCAUCAGAUGUGCGUAGUAAGAAACAUCUCGAAGCGAAAAUUGGCGAACUCUCUGGUUCUCAUCAAAUUGAGCAGUUUUUCGGAGCGAAAAAGUGUGCUCCACAAGAUAAUCAAAAGGUUCAUCAUAUCCUGAUUAUGGAUGAAGUCGACGGAAUGUCUGGAAAUGAGGAUCGAGCUGGUAUCUCUGAGCUCAUCCAAAUUAUCAAGGAGUCUAAAAUUCCAAUUAUUUGCAUUUGUAAUGACCGGCAGCAUCCGAAAAUUCGUACACUGGCCAACUAUUGCUAUGAUCUUCGUUUUCCAAAGCCACGUGUCGAGACUAUUCGUUCUCGGAUGAUGACCAUCUGUUCUCAGGAAAAAAUGAAAAUUGGCAAAGAAGAAUUGGACGAAAUUAUCGAGUUAUCCGGUCAUGACGUCCGGCAAACAAUUUACAACCUGCAAAUGAGGUCAAAGGGAGUUGGAGCAAAGAUCAACCAGAAGGAUAUGGCUGUGGAUGCAUUCUCGGCGGCUCGUCGUCUCCUGGAUUCUCGUACGACAUUAAUGGAAAAGCAGGAAAUGUUCUUCACUGACUAUGGAAUCAUGCCACUUUUCGUCCAGGAUAAUUAUCUCAAUAUGAAAAAUGAAAAGCAUAGUCCAAUCCAAGCGAUCCGUGGAAUACGAAAAGCUGCAGACUUCAUUUCCCUUGGAGACCUUAUUGAUCGGCAAAUUCGUGGUGGAGGAUCCUGGAAGUUGCUCAAUGAGCAGAGCAUGAUUUCUGCUGCACUUCCAGCGAUUGCCACUGGUGGACAUUUGAAGGCAAUGAUUCAGUUCCCAUCGUGGUUGGGAAAAAACUCGACAGCUGGAAAACGGAAGAGAUUGCUUCAGCAACUGGUUCAACACACACAUCUCAAAGUUUCUGCUGGUACUCACUCAUUUGCCACUGAUUAUGCUCCAAUGCUCCGUCAGAAAAUAACGAAACCACUUCUUGAACAUGAAGCUGAUGGAAUUCCAGAUGUGAUCAGCACAAUGACAGAAUACGAUCUCAUCAAAGACGACACUGAAGCACUCACAGAAAUUGUUGCUUGGCCUGGAAAAAUUGAUCCGGCUAGUAAAAUUUUGAGUAAGGUGAAAGCAUCAUUGACUAGAACUCUAAACAAGACUGGUCGAAUGCUUCCAUACUCGAUGGAUUCUGUGUCAAAAGGAAAGAAACGAGGUGUGAAUUCAAUUGGAAUUGAAAUGGACGAAGAAGGAAAUCUAGUGGAGAAAUUUGAAGAUGAAGAUGGAGAAUCCGAUAAUGAGGAUAACGAGGAGAAAACUACUGAUGUUGUUAUUAAAGUUAGGACUGGUGGAGGUGCCGGAGCUUCAAAAUCUGCUCGAGGUGGACGUGGUGGUGGUCGGGCUCGUGGAGGAAGAGGAAGCAAGAAAUGA
rnacentral:misc_RNA from 1 species